CAAAAGCGUUGGUGAGUCUGACA
rnacentral:siRNA from 1 species